AGCUAUUUAGUUUAUGUUAUAAAAUUUUUGUUUGUGGUGCAAAAGAAAUUAUUAGCUA
rnacentral:tRNA from 1 species